rnacentral:rRNA from 1 species
CGCUGGCGGUAGGCCUAACACAUGCAAGUCGAACGGCAGCACAGGAGAGCUUGCUCUCUGGGUGGCGAGUGGCGGACGGGUGAGGAAUACAUCGGAAUCUACUUUUUCGUGGGGGAUAACGUAGGGAAACUUACGCUAAUACCGCAUACGACCUACGGGUGAAAGCAGGGGAUCUUCGGACCUUGCGCGAUUGAAUGAGCCGAUGUCGGAUUAGCUAGUUGGCGGGGUAAAGGCCCACCAAGGCGACGAUCCGUAGCUGGUCUGAGAGGAUGAUCAGCCACACUGGAACUGAGACACGGUCCAGACUCCUACGGGAGGCAGCAGUGGGGAAUAUUGGACAAUGGGCGCAAGCCUGAUCCAGCCAUACCGCGUGGGUGAAGAAGGCCUUCGGGUUGUAAAGCCCUUUUGUUGGGAAAGAAAUCCAGCUGGUUAAUACCCGGUUGGGAUGACGGUACCCAAAGAAUAAGCACCGGCUAACUUCGUGCCAGCAGCCGCGGUAAUACGAAGGGUGCAAGCGUUACUCGGAAUUACUGGGCGUAAA